UACGAAGGGUGCAAGCGUUACUCGGAAUUACUGGGCGUAAAGCGUGCGUAGGUGGUUGUUUAAGUCUGUCGUGAAAGCCCUGGGCUCAACCUGGGAAUUGCGAUGGAUACUGGGCAACUAGAGUGUGGUAGAGGGUGGCGGAAUUCCCGGUGUAGCAGUGAAAUGCGUAGAGAUCGGGAGGAACAUCCGUGGCGAAGGCGGCCACCUGGGCCAACACUGACACUGAGGCACGAAAGCGUGGGGAGCAAACAGGAUUAGAUACCCUGGUAGUCCACGCCCUAAACGAUGCGAACUGGAUGUUGGGUUCAACUUGGAACCCAGUAUCGAAGCUAACGCGUUAAGUUCGCCGCCUGGGGAGUACGGUCGCAAGACUGAA
rnacentral:rRNA from 1 species